GUGGUGGAGACGUGGAGUUCUGAACACGCGGAUCCUGUCCAAACGCACGCACACCGUCCGCGUCUAUAACGUCAGCCGAGACACGCGCGUCCAGUGCAGCGCUGCAAACCGCCUGGGACGCGCCUCGUCCCGCCCGACGCCCCUCAACGCGCAGUACGCUCCGCUGAUUCUGUCUCGCUCGUCCUGUGACUGGGACGGGACGCUGCUGUCCUGCUCUUGUUUCGUGGACUCGAACCCACGUCCCGCCGUCACCUGGAGUGUGAACGGGUCUCACUUGCCGGAUGGCUUUAACACCUCGUCUUCUUCUUAUGUUAACCACACGCUGACCGGCGCUCCGCGGGAUCUCAGACUUGCCGCUGCGGGUCGAGUGUCAUGCUGUCAGCGCUCUGGGAAACCACUCGCACCUGCUCUAUGAGCCUCACGAGGAUACUCUGAUUUGGACUGUAAUCCCGACAGCAGGUGCUGUGCUUCUGCUGCUGCUGCUGCUUCUGCUGCUGUUUUUUUUCUACUGCUGCAGGACGAACCGAAGGAGACGUGUCAUGGACUACAGGCCUCCAGCCGUGCGUCCUGAGCUUCUGGGCUUCUAUCAGGAGCGAACGCCGCUCUACAUCAACUGCAGCGAGGUCACAAACGUCUACAGCAACGGCAGCUACCAGCUCAUCUAUCAGAACUGCACUCCGCUCUUCGUACGGAGCAAACAGAUGCACAAGAGACAGAGACGCGGAGCGCGACGCCAGCGAGCGCAGCAUCAGACACUGAACCCCGUCGCUGUAGACUCUGAGACGGCCAUCUAUGUGGAGGUCAUAUGAGCUCAGACUGUGUGUGUUUCUUUCCUGCUUCAACUCACCUCCAGAAAUAAAGAAAUGAAAUAAA